GCCAUGUCCACCUCGUUGUCGAAGUGGCCAAUGUUGCCGACAAUGGCGUUGUUCUUCAUCUUGGCCAUGUGCUCAGCCAUGAUGAUGUCCUUGUUGCCGGUGGUGGUGAUGAAGAUGUCGGCGGUCUCCAGGCAGUCCUCCAGGGGCUGGACCUGUGGGGCGAAGGCAAGGGGGAUGGGGAGGAGCGGGUCAGCGCAUUGCACUUUAACGUAGCAGGACGGGACGAGAUGCGUAUACCAAGUGCGGCACUUGCUGCGAAUGCCGCCACAUACACAAACCUCUACUUUCUUACAUGAAGUGUCCAGGGUUCCCUUUUAAGAAUCGGCGUGAACCCCGUCCUUCCGUCCACUUCCACCUGCCAAUCCCUGCCUACCUGGUAGCCCUCCAUGGCGGCCUGCAGCGCGCAGAUGGGGUCGAUCUCCGACACAAUGGUGCGGGCACCGGCGGCCUUCAUGGCGCUGGCGCAGCCCUUGCCCACAUCACCGUAGCCGGCGAUGAAGGCGGUCU
rnacentral:lncRNA from 1 species